CUUAAUUUGGGUUAAGAGCGACGGGCAAUUUGUGCAUAUUUAACUAUUUUUUUUCUCUUUUAAUUUUGAUUUUUUUUUAAUACUUCUAAGUCCUUUUUCCGAUUACUAAAUUUAUGUUUCAUUUUUUUAACUUAUAGUAUCCCACGUUUGCUUGCAUGUAUCCUUGAUAUUGAUUUGUUUUUUGACUUAUAGUUUUUAAAUUUUAUUUUAUCUAUUUAUUUAAGCAAAAAUAUAAAGAGUGAUAAAGUAAGAUCCUUUUUAUCGUGGGUUGUCUAUUAUAAAGCAGGAUCCCCUAGGUUAGUUAAGUACUGCCAUUCUAAAUGGAUUUUUUUUCUUUAAAUACUUUCUUUUUUUUUGUUAGAA
rnacentral:rRNA from 1 species